AAAUAAAGCCAAAUCCUUGCUCCCGACACCAUUCACCAAGCCACAAAUUAAAGUCCCUAAUACGCAUCUGCCUGUCGUUCUGAGUGUUAUGCACAGGCAGAACUUCAGAGAAUGACAGUGUGGAAGCAACCUGCCGUAUAUCAUUGGCAAAAACACUAAAAACUUCCUUAACCUCUGAAACCUCAUUGCAAGCUAAGUCAUU